rnacentral:pre_miRNA from 1 species
UCUGGGUGGAAUGUUGUCUGGUUCAAGGUCUCGCUCUGAGGUCUGAGGAUGGAAAACUACUUCCAUUUCUCUCGCCUGCGAGCGAUCUCGGACCAGGCUUCAUUCCCCUCAGA